AUUUAAGUAGUUUAAUUUAAAAUUUAGAUUUGUGGAUUCUGUGAUGUUUAUAAAACCUUAAGUU
rnacentral:tRNA from 1 species